rnacentral:rRNA from 1 species
AGUGAACGCUGGCGGUAGGCCUAACACAUGCAAGUCGAACGGCAGCACAGUAAGAGCUUGCUCUUACGGGUGGCGAGUGGCGGACGGGUGAGGAAUACAUCGGAAUCUACUUUUUCGUGGGGGAUAACGUAGGGAAACUUACGCUAAUACCGCAUACGACCUACGGGUGAAAGCAGGGGAUCUUCUGACCUUGCGCGAUUGAAUGAGCCGAUGUCGGAUUAGCUAGUUGGCGGGGUAAAGGCCCACCAAGGCGACGAUCCGUAGCUGGUCUGAGAGGAUGAUCGGCCACAUGGGAACUGAGACACGGUCCAGACUCCUAAGGGAGGCAGCAGUGGGGAAUAUUGGACAACGGGCGCAAGCCUGAUCCAGCCAUACCGCGUGGGUGAAGAAGGCCUUCGGGUUGUAAAGCCCUUUUGUUGGGAAAGAAAAGCAGCAGGUUAAUACCCCGCUGUUCUGACGGUACCCAAAGAAUAAGCACCGGCUAACUUCGUG